rnacentral:rRNA from 1 species
UAAUACGGAGGGUGCAAGCGUUAUCCGGAUUUACUGGGUUUAAAGGGUGUGUAGGCGGGUCUUUAAGUCAGUGGUGAAAUCUCCGAGCUUAACUUGGAAACUGCCAUUGAUACUAUUGAUCUUGAAUUCUGUUGAGGUGGGCGGAAUAUGUCAUGUAGCGGUGAAAUGCAUAGAUAUGACAUAGAACACCAAUUGCGAAGGCAGCUCACUAAGCAGAUAUUGACGCUGAGGCACGAAAGCGUGGGGAUCAAACAGGAUUAGAUACCCUGGUAGUCCACGCCCUAAACGAUGAUUACUCGACAUACGCGAUACACAGUGUGUGUCUGAGCGAAAGCAUUAAGUAAUCCACCUGGGAAGUACGACCGCAAGGUUG